GAGUUUGAUCAUGGCUCAGAUUGAACGCUGGCGGUAGGCUUAACACAUGCAAGUCGUGCGAGAAAGUACCUUCGGAUAUGAGUAGAGCGGCGGACGGGUGAGUAACGCGUAGGAAUCUACCUAGUAGAAGGGGAUAGCCCGGGGAAACUCGGAUUAAUACCGUAUACCUCCUUCGGGAGAAAGAAGGCCUCUCUUUGAAGCUUUCGCUAUUAGAUGAGCCUGCGUAAGAUUAGCUUGUUGGUGAGGCAAAGGCUCACCAAGGCGACGAUCUUUAGCGGGUCUGAGAGGACGAUCCGCCACAUUGGGACUGAGACACGGCCCAGACUCCUACGGGAGGCAGCAGUGGGGAAUAUUGGACAAUGGGCGCAAGCCUGAUCCAGCCAUACCGCGUGUGUGAAGAAGGCCCUAGGGUUGUAAAGCACUUUAAGUUGGGAAGAAAAGUUAUUGGUUAAUACCCAAUAACCGUGACAUUACCAUCAGAAUAAGGACCGGCUAAUUCCGUGCCAGCAGCCGCGGUAAUACGGAAGGUCCAAGCGUUAAUCGGAAUUACUGGGCGUAAAGCGCGCGUAGGUGGUUUAUUAAGUUGGAUGUGAAAUCCCCGGGCUCAACCUGGGAACUGCAUCCAAAACUGAUUCACUAGAGUACGAUAGAGGGAGGUAGAAUUCACAGUGUAGCGGUGGAAUGCGUAGAUAUUGUGAAGAAUACCAAUGGCGAAGGCAGCCUCCUGGAUCUGUACUGACACUGAGGUGCGAAAGCGUGGGUAGCGAACAGGAUUAGAUACCCUGGUAGUCCACGCCGUAAACGAUGUCAACUAGCUGUUGGAAAACUAUGUUUUUCAGUGGCGCAGCUAACGUAGUAAGUUGACCGCCUGGGGAGUACGGCCGCAAGGCUAAAACUCAAAUGAAUUGACGGGGACCCGCACAAGCGGUGGAGCAUGUGGUUUAAUUCGAUGCAACGCGAAAAACCUUACCUAUACUUGACAUACUUGGAAUGCUUUGUAAUGAAGCAGUGCCUUCGGGAGCCAAGAUACAGGUGCUGCAUGGCUGUCGUCAGCUCGUGUCGUGAGAUGUUCCGUUAAGUCGGAUAACGAGCGCAACCCUUACCCUUAUUUGCCAGCGAUUCGGUCGGGAACUAUAAGGGGACUGCCGGUGAUAAACCGGAGGAAGAUGAGGACGACGUCAAGUCAUCAUGGCCCUUACGUAUAGGGCUACACACGUGCUACAAUGGAGAAUACAGACGGACGCUAAGCCGCGAGGUGGUGCUAAUCCUAGAAAAUUCUUCGUAGUCCGGAUUGGAGUCUGCAACUCGACUCCAUGAAGUCGGAAUCGCUAGUAAUCGCGAAUCAGCAUGUCGCGGUGAAUACGUUCUCGGGUCUUGUACACACCGCCCGUCAUACCAUGGAAGUGGAUUGCACCAGAAGUAGAUAGUCUAACCUUCGGGAGGGCGUUUACCACGGUGUGCUUCAUGACUGGGGUAAAGUCGUAACAAGGUAACC
rnacentral:rRNA from 1 species